rnacentral:rRNA from 1 species
AACGAACGCUGGCGGCAGGCCUAACACAUGCAAGUCGAGCGAGGACUUCGGUCCUAGCGGCGGACGGGUGAGUAACGCGUGGGAACGUGCCCUUUGCUUCGGAAUAGCCCUGGGAAACUGGGAGUAAUACCGGAUGAGCCCUUUGGGGGAAAGAUUUAUCGGCGAAGGAUCGGCCCGCGUUGGAUUAGGUAGUUGGUGGGGUAAUGGCCUACCAAGCCGACGAUCCAUAGCUGGUUUGAGAGGAUGAUCAGCCACACUGGGACUGAGACACGGCCCAGACUCCGACGGGAGGCAGCAGUGGGGAAUCUUAGACAAUGGGGGGAACCCUGAUCUAGCCAUGCCGCGUGAGCGAUGAAGGCCUUAGGGUUGUAAAGCUCUUUCAGCUGGGAAGAUAAUGACGGUACCAGCAGAAGAAGCCCCGGCUAACUCCGU